rnacentral:tRNA from 1 species
GCUGGCGUAGCUCAGUUGGUAGAGCAGCCGCCUUGUAAGCGGCAGGUCGCCAGUUCGAUUCUGGCCGCCAGCUC